UGGGGAAUUUUGCACAAUGGGGGAAACCCUGAUGCAGCGACGCCGCGUGAUUUAGAAGGUCUUCGGGUUGUAAAAAUCUUUUCUAUGGGAAGAAAAUGACAGUACCAUAGGAAUAAGGACCGGCUAAUUACGUGCCAGCAGCCGCGGUAAUACGUAAGGUCCGAGCGUUGUCCGGAAUCAUUGGGCGUAAAGGGUACGUAGGCGGGUAAGCAAGUUAGAAGUGAAAUCCUAUAGCUCAACUAUAGUAAGCUUUUAAAACUGCUCAUCUUGAGGUAUGGAAGGGAAAGUGGAAUUCCUAGUGUAGCGGUGAAAUGCGCAGAUAUUAGGAGGAAUACCGGUGGCGAAGGCGACUUUCUGGCCAUAACCUGACGCUGAGGUACGAAAGCGUGGGUAGCAAACAGG
rnacentral:rRNA from 1 species